AAUAGUAUCAAAACGUUCAAUAGCUUUGGUCAAUAAUUCCAGAAUGUGAAAGUAAUAAGUUAUAUAGAUUCAAGUAGUUACAUAUUCUAAGCCUUUAUUUCUUGUAACUUUGAUUAUGGCUUGUAGAUAAUAAACCUGAACUCCAGUAUCUCUGAAAAGUUAAAAUCUUGUAGAAUAGCAAAAUAGUGGAACAUCAGUUAACAGUUAAUUUGCUAAACAGCUGCAAAGGUUUCCUGAGCCUUUAAGUCUCACUGCUGGUUGGACAGAAGACAUGUUGACACCCAAAGCAAGGAGAUGUUUGCUUAUAUUGUCUCCAUGCAAAGAAAAGUUAUUGCUAAGGAAGCUGGUGUUUUAGUGUGUUGUAUCAAAGUGCAUUUAUCAAAAGUUGAGUGGAAGGAAAAGCUGUGCUAAUAAAGGUGCAACAGGCAUAACUGCAACAUUGAGAGUAUGGUCAAAAGACAUACGCUCAGAUUUUAAGUCACUUCACAAGGAUGAAGGAGUGAAGUGAUGCCGGAUUCAGAGCAGACUCAGUUCACUCCUUCACCCAGGAUUCACCAGAGACAAUCCUAGAUACAAGCGUCUUACCUGAAGAGAAGAACUGGAUCGUUGCUCAGAUGAAGAUGAUCUCCCUGCUGCUCCUCAUCCUCAGCUCAUGUCUCUGUGGUCAGUCUCCAUCUUGUCUUUGUGACAGAAAGCUCUCUAGAUGGAGCUGAAAGACUCCCAUGUUCCAGUUCUCAGUGUGUCUGCUCCUCUCUUUCCCUCUCUGUCUCCUCAGCAGCAACAUUUGUAGUGAAUGUGACCCAGAGCAGCUAUGAGGCCGAGGAGAACCAGAGCAUCACUCUGGAGUGGACCUUCACCACCAGGACUCAGGGAUCCUACAGGGAACUGUCCAUCUAUUGUGACUUAAGAAAUUCAGUAUUGCCUAUAAUACUGUAUGCUCAUCAUGAUGGUGUUGAGUUUCCAGAUUCUCAGGAUGAUCGGUUUUCAGGACGAGUCCAAUGUGACAAAGACGUCCUCAGGGAAGGACGAAUCAGACUCCAUAUGUCCAGACUGAGGACUGAAGACUCUGGAGAGUAUGGGUGUGACGUGAUGACAGAAGAUGGAUUCAACUCUGGAGGAUGUCUACUCAAGGUUACUGCACCUGCUGAUCAGCUUCUACCUCAGAGACCAACUUUGACUCCAAAACCAGAGACAUGGAUAAUAAUGACUAUUUUGAUUAUGGUAAUUAUGUUUAGCAUUAUAUGUUUAUCCUUAAUAGUUAAGAUAAGAAAAUACUAUGUAAAUAGUGUUUCAGACAAACACAUGAAGGAAGAAUGCACUUUCAUGCAAAAUUCUUGAACUUCUGUUUUAAAGAAACGAAAAACUUUAAAACCUUUACAUUCUGUUCUCAGUGCAAGAAGAGAUUUUUAAAUGUAUAAAAUCUCUUCAAUAUUUGUCACUACUUUUUAGUUUACCUCUAAUAGGAAAAUCCACAGUGAAUAAAUCAACUGUCUCAUCAGAUGUUUUAUGUUCAAUUCCAGUUUUAUUAAAUGUAGUUUUUUCCUCCUGAUCUUUCACCUCAGUGAGGAUCAAACCCUCUCUCUCUCUCUCUCUCUCUCUCUCUCUCUCUCUCUCUCUCUCUCUCUCUCUCUCUAAUAAAAUGUAUCUUGAUAGAGGCACAAGGUAUGUUUAUUUUGUAAAUAUGUCUUUUAUUGAUUGGUUGAAAUUGUGAAUUUGUUUUAUUGUAUAAGAAUACUGGUAUAAUUUUUGAAUAAGAGUCAAAGUAGCAAACGUAAUUUUUUGGGUCAAAUGUUACAGUAUUUGUAGCUAACACUGUCUUUUUGAUUUAGUGCAUACAUACAUAAACCUGGCUGUUCAUCAAUAAAGCCAAAAUGCUUCA